UACGUAGGGGCAAGCGUUAUCCGGAUUUACUGGGUGUAAAGGGAGCGCAGACGGAACUGCAAGUCUGAUGUGAAAGCCCGGGGCUCAACCGCGGGACUGCAUUGGAAACUGUAGAUCUGGAGUGCCGGAGGGGCAAGCGGAAUUCCUGGUGUAGCGGUGAAAUGCGUAGAUAUCAGGAGGAACACCAAUGGCGAAGGCAGGUCUCUGGGCAGUUACUGACGCUGAGGAGCGAAAGCAUGGGUAGCGAACAGGAUUAGAUA
rnacentral:rRNA from 1 species